rnacentral:rRNA from 1 species
AGAGGGUGCGAGCGUUAAUCGGAUUUACUGGGCGUACAGCGUGCGUAGGCGGCUUAUUAAGUCGGAUGUGACAUCCCCGAGCUUAACUUGGGAAUUGCAUUCGAUACUGGUGAGCUAGAGUAUGGGAGAGGAUGGUAGAAUUCCAGGUGUAGCGGUGAAAUGCGUAGAGAUCUGGAGGAAUACCGAUGGCGAAGGCAGCCAUCUGGCCUAAUACUGACGCUGAGGUACGAAAGCAUGGGGAGCAAACAGGAUUAGAUACCCUGGUAGUCCAUGCCGUAAACGAUGUCUACUAGCCGUUGGGGCCUCUGAGGCUUUAGUGGCGCAGCUAACGCGAUAAGUAGACCGCCUGGGGAGUACGGUCGCAAGACUAAAACUCAAAUGAAUUGACGGGGGCCCGCACAAGCGGUGGAGCAUGUGGUUUAAUUCGAUGCAACGCGAAGAACCUUACCUGGCCUUGACAUACUAGAAACUUUCCAGAGAUGGAUUGGUGCCUUCGGGAAUCUAGAUACAGGUGCUGCAUGGCUGUCGUCAGCUCGUGUCGUGAGAUGUUGGGUUAAGUCCCGCAACGAGCGCAACCCUUUUCCUUACUUGCCAGCAUUUCGGAUGGGAACUUUAAGGAUACUGCCAGUGACAAACUGGAGGAAGGCGGGGACGACGUCAAGUCAUCAUGGCCCUUACGGCCAGGGCUACACACGUGCUACAAUGGUCGGUACAAAGGGUUGCUACACAGCGAUGUGAUGCUAAUCUCAAAAAGCCGAUCGUAGUCCGGAUUGGAGUCUGCAACUCGACUCCAUGAAGUC